UCCUACGGGAGGCAGCAGUGGGGAAUAUUGGACAAUGGGGGCAACCCUGAUCCAGCCAUGCCGCGUGUGUGAAGAAGGCCCUCGGGUUGUAAAGCACUUUCAGCGAGGAAGAACGCCUAGCGGUUAAUACCCGCUAGGAAAGACAUCACUCGCAGAAGAAGCACCGGCUAACUCCGUGCCAGCAGCCGCGGUAAUACGGAGGGUGCAAGCGUUAAUCGGAAUUACUGGGCGUAAAGCGCGCGUAGGUGGCUUGAUAAGCCGGUUGUGAAAGCCCCGGGCUCAACCUGGGAACGGCAUCCGGAACUGUCAAGCUAGAGUGCAGGAGAGGAAGGUAGAAUUCCCGGUGUAGCGGUGAAAUGCGUAGAGAUCGGGAGGAAUACCAGUGGCGAAGGCGGCCUUCUGGACUGACACCGACACUGAGGUGCGAAAGCGUGGGUAGCAAACAGGAUUAGAUACCCUGGUAGUCCACGCCGUAAACGAUGUCGACCAGCCGUUGGGUGCCUAGCGCACUUUGUGGCGAAGUUAACGCGAUAAGUCGACCGCCUGGGGAGUACGGCCGCAAGGUUAAAACUCAAAUGAAUUGACGG
rnacentral:rRNA from 1 species